UAGGGAAUCUUCGGCAAUGGACGGAAGUCUGACCGAGCAACGCCGCGUGAGUGAAGAAGGUUUUCGGAUCGUAAAGCUCUGUUGUUAGGGAAGAACGUUGGUAGGAGUGGAAAAUCUACCAAGUGACGGUAACUAACCAGAAAGGGACGGCUAACUACGUGCCAGCAGCCGCGGUAAUACGUAGGUCCCGAGCGUUGUCCGGAUUUAUUGGGCGUAAAGCGAGCGCAGGCGGUUCUUUAAGUCUGAAGUUAAAGGCAGUGGCUUAACCAUUGUACGCUUUGGAAACUGGAGGACUUGAGUGCAGAAGGGGAGAGUGGAAUUCCAUGUGUAGCGGUGAAUUGCGUAGAUAUAUGGAGGAACACCGGUGGCGAAAGCGGCUCUCUGGUCUGUAACUGACGCUGAGGCUCGAAAGCGUGGGGAGCAAACAGG
rnacentral:rRNA from 1 species